rnacentral:rRNA from 1 species
CCCAAUCCCGAUUCGGGGAGGUAGUGACAAUAAAUAACAAUACAGGGCCAACGGUCUUGUUAUUGGAAUGAGAGCAAUUUAAAUAACUUAACGAGGAUCAAUUAGAGGGCAAGUCUGGUGCCAGCAGCCGCGGUAAUUCCAGCUCUAAUAGCGUAUAUUAAAGUUGUUGCAGUUAAAAAGCUCGUAGUCGGAUGUCGGGCUCGGGCAAGCUGUCGGCCUUUGGUCGGACGGCAGGCUCGGGUCUUUCUGCCUGAGGAACCCGGUUGCUUUAACGAGCUGCCGGUGGACGCAGGUCGUUUACUUUGAAAAAAUUAGAGUGUUCAAAGCAGGCUAGCGCUUGAAUACAUUAGCAUGGAAUAAUGGAAUAGGACUUUGGUGCUAUUUUGUUGGUUUAUGGGACCGAAGUAAUGAUUAACAGGGACAGUUGGGGCCGUUUAUAUUUCGUUGUCAGAGGUGAAAUUCUUGGAUUUACGAAAGAUAAACUUCUGCGAAAGCAUUCGGCAAGGAUGUUUUCAUUGAUCAAGAACGAAAGUUAGGGGAUCGAAGACGAUCAGAUACCGUCGUAGUCUUAACCAUAAACUAUGCCGACUAGGGAUCAGUGGAUGUCAAUUUGCGACUCCAUUGGCACCUUGUGAGAAAUCAAAGUUUUUGGGUUCCGGGGGGAGUAUGGUCGCAAGGCUGAAACUUAAAGGAAUUGACGGAAGGGCACCACCAGGAGUGGAGCCUGCGGCUUAAUUUGACUCAACACGGGGAAACUUACCAGGUCCAGACAUAGUAAGGAUUGACAGAUUGAAAGCUCUUUCUUGAU